rnacentral:rRNA from 1 species
UUCCGUAGGUGAACCUGCGGAAGGAUCAUUACCUAGAGUUUGUGGGCUUUGCCCGUUACCUCUUACCCAUGUCUUUUGAGUACUUACGUUUCCUCGGCGGGUCCGCCCGCCGAUUGGACAAAAUCAAACCCUUUGCAGUUGCAGUCAGCGUCUGAAAAACAUAAUAGUUACAACUUUCAACAACGGAUCUCUUGGUUCUGGCAUCGAUGAAGAACGCAGCGAAAUGCGAUAAGUAGUGUGAAUUGCAGAAUUCAGUGAAUCAUCGAAUCUUUGAACGCACAUUGCGCCCCUUGGUAUUCCAUGGGGCAUGCCUGUUCGAGCGUCAUUUGUACCUUCAAGCUUUGCUUGGUGUUGGGUGUUUGUCUCGCCUCUGCGUGUAGACUCGCCUUAAAACAAUUGGCAGCCGGCGUAUUGAUUUCGGAGCGCAGUACAUCUCGCGCUUUGCACUCAUAACGACGACGUCCAAAAGUACAUUUUUACACUCUUGACCUCGGAUCAGGUAGGGAUACCCCUGAACUUAAGCAUAUCAAUAAGCGGAGGA